UUGGUUUUUUGUUUGUUUGUUUUAGGUUUUUUUUGUUUGUUUUUCUUUUGUUUUUGUUUUGUUUUGUUUUGCCUGGAGAGAGAUUUUGAAAAUGACUGUGCUUCAAAGAUAGCCGGGACCUGGGUCAUGAGCAAGACAGGACUUCUUGAACUGAAGUAUACAAUGUAAGAGGUAGCCUUCAUAGUUUAGUUUGGGGUGUUUUUAAUAUCCAUUAAGUGUAUAGAGCAAUCAUUGCAUAUUGCAGCCUACAGCUCUUGUCUUUGAAUACACUCCUUCAAUGCCAGUGCAAAUACAAGAAUUGCCCUGGUAUAAACCAUACUUUAAUCAGAGUUGGAUUGCACUGAAGGCAAACAGGGCAGAACUUGUGCGGGAGUAAGGAAGUAGCUGGCCUGCCUUCCAGGUGCUGGUUUGUGGAUAAACAGACAGAAAGAACACCUUGUGUUAACAAUGCAGCUGGUCAGGAGAUCCAAACCCCGAGUAAAUGAUGGGAGUUCAGCCAGAGGAGGAUUAUGUUUUGAAUAGUGUGCUCGUUUUCUCAAUAUUGGAAACAUAUACUUGGGCUUAUUGAUUGUUUUGCUGAGCUGGAGCAGUGGAGCCUGCCACUGAUGGCUAACUGGGGAGGAAUCUGACUGCCUCAUGCUGCCAGCAAGGCAUGGCUAACUGGGACUCUCCAGUGUCUGGGUUUACCCUUUUACUCUAUGUUUUUGCCAGCUUGCAUGCUAACAAUUUCACUGAGGCUUCUCAGUCCUGAUGCUGAGUGUGUAUCACUGAAGCUGCUGGUGCAGGUGAGCACUGUUUGCCUGCAGUCACCUGCUGACACCCUUUGGGAGCCUUUUUUUUUUUAAUUCUGUGGGUUUAUAUGUGUUUUGUGAUUGGACACAAAUGUUCCAUGGCAUAAGACAGUGCUUUCAUCAACUUAAGACUGCUUUUCAAAAUUUCUUAAGUUCAAGGUUCUGCGAAUUUCUGUAAGGAUUUUCUGGAAUUGGCACACACCGUGCCAACAAAUACUGUGCAAGUCUGAACUAGUGCAGAGCACUGGCUGGGUCUUCAAUACUUUUUUGUAAAUUCUUUACUAAAUUCACUAGUUUAAAUUUUCUUGUUCUCUGUGUUUUCUGUAUCUUAUAUUUAUAGUUUUCUUUUUUCUUUAUUUUUUUAAAGGAGCAACUUUUGGAAGGUUUUAAGUAAUUGCUACUUGUGUCUAAACUUAUGCUUUUGUUACGAAAACUGUGUUGACAUAAAUGUCAUGCACUUUCCCAAACCAAAGCAUAAAAUGAAUUUUUGUAUUUGUUAAGCACACAGCUGAAAAUAAAUUUGCCACAUGGAACUUCCCUUGUGGGAAAUUAAAUACUUUUCUUGAGCUGUUUAGGCGUGCAUUAAAAAAAAAAAAAAAAGAAGUCAUAAGGAAAUAGAGAUGUCUAGUGGGAGUAUUUGGAGUUCUUUUGGUGCAAGCACAGGGAUCUGCUCCAGCACAUCUGUCAAGAACCCACGACUUGAAGGUGUAAAAACAAGAACACUUCAUGUAACAUCUGCUCACACUCUGUGAUGGGCACAGGUACAAAAGCCUUGAAAUCUCUGAGAUAUUUGUCAUGCCAUGUCAAGGGAAUGUAACAGAAUCCAGUGCAUUGUCUGUUACUGCCUGCUCUCCAGCCAGUGAAGUUAUUAGGUACUAAAGCUGAUAACAGUUACAUUGAGCCAAAGUUUUGCAUAAGCGAAUGUGAGGAAUGCAGUGCAGAGGGGGCUUUGCUAUGUGUGGCUGAUGUGUUAGUAAUUAUUUCCCUCAUGCAAUGUAUACCUUUGCUUCAUAGACAUUUCCCCAUACUGUGCUGAAAUUGAAAUGGUGAUUUCUUGUGCUUGGUAAUUGUUUGAUGAAAAGCCCCCAAUUCAGAUUAUGUCUGGAGACUUACAGAAAUAAUGAUGUGGAAUGAAAAAUAGCCAGUUAAGUAAUUUUUAUGUGGUUUAACCUGCAAUUUUGUGUUUCUCCCUUUAAAUUACUUUUAAACAGUUUGAAAAUACCUGUUUUUCUCCUUAAACUUUAUCUAUGAGAAGCAUAUGAUAGAUACUUAAUCUUUAACCUUCUCCGGAGAUUCUUUGACUUUUUCACGUUAUCUGCCACUGAUGUGCUUGCAACAUCAUGCUUGAGAAAUUAUUGUCAUCUACCACAUACUAAAUUCCUCUUACUCUCCUCAGUGGAAACCUCAGUAAAGCAAGAAAAAAAACAAACAAAAAACAAGGAAGGCUAAGAAGGAGUAAAAAUACCUCUUGAAAAUGCUGAUUUAAAGUAGCUGUGGCAGACUGAAGGUAGGUAUUUGAAGAGUGGGUGGAACUGAAAUGAAACACGAGGUAGCGCAAAUCAAGACUAAAUUGAUUUCAUCCUUAAACAGUCUGCAGAUUACAUUAAAAUUAUUCUGUUUUCCUAUAAAACUUUAUUUCUGGAUUUUUUGAUGUUUCCUAUGGCUGUUAUCAUAAAUUUGCUGAAUGUUUUCCCAUUACCAUCAGCAUUCCAGCUUGUCCAGAAUGGUUUAGGCUCUUUCCAUUAUCCUUGCACAGAGGAAGUGCUGGAUAUCAUGGUCAAGCCUUGUCCUUCCCUCUCUCCAAGCUGUUUUCCACUAGGUUUUGUGGGCAGUGGAUGUGUGUGGGUAGAUAUUUCCCUGCCCCCUUAUUCCUGUUGGCAUUUGAUCCUCCACUGAAGACUUUCUCCAUGAAGUGAUGUCCAGAGGCGCUUGCUGGGUUUGCUUGCGAUUCGCACAUGGUAGAUGAGCACAGCUGUGACUUGUACUUCCAAAGUGAGGGAGGAGGGAAGUGGCUUGUUUUCUUUUUAAUGGGAGUACUGUACUGGGGAGUGCCCUUCCUAAACCAGGACAGUGGACCUCAUAAGAAGACAAAGAAGGGGAAAAGCAAUUCUCCAGCCAAAAUGCUCCCUUCAGGUGCUGCAAGGUCUCCCCAAACCUUC